CAUACACUUUUUUGUUCUUUAAACACAACAAAUUUACAAAAAAAAAAUAAAAAUCAUAGUCAAUUCAUUUAUAUUACCAAGGAUGAAAAAAUCAGUCAUAUUUUCAUUUAAUGUUUUAACUCGCCUCAUAAUUCUUGUACUAGUGGCCGGAGCGAUGGGGCAAGGAAGUAAAAAAAAAAACAUAUGGUGUCCCGUACUUCUAGAUAACAACCAAAAUGGAAGUUGUAAAGACAAGCAAGGUUGCAUAUCUGCUUGCAAGAAGAGGACAGAACCAUUAGGGAAAACGGAAAUAAACACCGGUUGCAUCCCAGGAAACAAAUGCGGAUGCUAUAUCCGAUGUCCAGCAUGAUAUUAAUGUUUAUUUUAUUGACAAUAAAAAUCAGAUACAUUUAUAAUAAAUUAUGAUGCCGUUUAUAGUAAUAAUUAAAUAAGUUGUCAUAUUAUGAUAACAAUAAAACAUGAUCAUUUGAAGAUGUAAAAAUGACAAAAUAAGUUGGAAAAGUUCAUUAGUAUUAUUAACUUCCAAAUUUCUACGAUAUUAAUAGUCAACAAGAUUUUGAUCCCGCUUUGAGAGCGCAAGAUAAUUUCCGAUAAAAGAAUUUUUUAAUGAAAUAUCAGAUAACAGUAACAUUUUAAAUUUAUUAUCUGAUUUUUGACGUCUAUUAUUGAGAAUUUAUUUAUAUUGAAGUCUCAUAUUAAUUUCUUUUAUAAUGUGAUUUGAUGUAUGCUUUUAAAGAGUGAGAUGAAUUGUUUUUUUUUCAAAUAAUAUUGAUUAUUUAUUGCGUUUCACAACCAGAAUAUCGAAAAGUUAUAAAUAGGAACAUAGGUGAUAAAUUAAUUGUUUUAGAUGAAUUUCUAUUUGCGAACACAUAAAUAUGUGGAUUUAUUGUAUUGAUUGGUCUUUGUAAAUAUUUUAUAUAUGUAAUUCAUUAUUUUUUAUUUUAUCUAACACUGGCUUAAUAUGCAAUUUGUAUUGUUAAUAUUUAUUAAAAUAUUUGGAAUAGUAUUUAAACACACUUAUAAUUUAAGGUUUUAAAGUUGUAUCUGGAGUCUACAAAACCUGAAUAUUGUUUUUAUAUAAAUAGGAAUGUCCGUAGUUGGAACUGUAUUGUCAUUAAGGGUACAUAUAGAUUCCUUGACUUAUUUAUUGCUGUACUUAAGUAAGAAGAAUAGGUUGUUUUAUUCCUAUGAAAGAUUAUGAUUAGGAAAUUUUUAGUUUGAAACCAAUACACAUUUAAUGGAAUUCAUUUAUUAAAAUGUCAUAUCUACAAUAUAGUAAAGAAAUUAAAGGGACCUCAAAGAAAACGUUUUCUGUUUUGAUAAUAUCCAUAUUUUGGUCAUUUGAUCACUGUGUUACUGUAUUUAUGAUAAAAACCUUUUUAGGCCUAUCAUAUGGUAUUUCUCUAAUUAAAAUGGAAUCCAAAAUCAUCCAUCAAAUAUUAAUUACCAUAAAUUUCUAUCAGAUCCCUACUUAGAAUCCGAACUUUAGAAAACAAUAUUUUCUAAAACAUAAUUUUCAAAAUAAUUAUAUUAUGUUCUUGUGCACCAAUCAUUUAGACCUAACCUUAAGUUAGGUCAUGCAUUAUAUUAUAUUAAAUGUUAUUAGUAAUUAAAAGAAACAAUAGAAUUUAAGUAAGGAUGGAUUAUGAAAAACAACAUUAUACUACUAAUGUGUUCCAAACAGCACAAUAAAUAAUUUUGUGUUGAAACAAUAUGAAAUAGUUGGAAUAAUUAAAAAAAAUUAAGUAAUAUUUUAUAAUUUUUUAUAUUUAAUAUAAUCACAAAAUAAGAAAAUUAUAUAGUUUUUAAAUACACUAAAAUAAAAAUGUUAAAAAUUACUUAUAAAUAUAUUAUAAAAUAUUUAUUGUUUUUGUCUUAGUUUAGUUAUUGUUGUCAAAAAAAAAGUUGGACUUGUAUUUUCAUUAAGGCUAUAUAUAGAUUUCUUGACUUAUUUAUUGCGGCACUUAAAUAAGCAGUAUAGUUGGUUUUAUUUCUAUGAAAGAUUAUUAUUAGUAAAGUUGUAGUUUGAAAGCAAUUGACAUUUAAUGUAAUUUAUUUAUUAAAAUUAAAUAAUAGUGGCAUAUCUUUAUAUAUAAAAUAGAGUUUUUUUUUUCCAAGAUGCGCCACAUCAUCAUCCACGUCGUAAAUUUGGCUCUGAACGUAACACGUGUGUCCAGGUAAUCGAAACUCACGUUAUCAUUUAUUCUUCUGUUGCGGGAUGGGCUUAAAACUUUAACGUGUUUGGACUUCAAAUUUGGACAGUGUAACCGGCCCGCCUCAAACCCUAAAGGGAAGAAUCAACGAAAUGGAGUUCGUCUCUCCUCUGCGUGCGACGGCGACUGCGACUUCGUGACGUUUGUGCUUCUUCAAAAUAUUUGAAACGGUCAAGAGUUAUGGCGUCGUGUUAUGAGGGCUUCAAUGUGUCGUUUAGAUCUGCAAGUCGUUUAGAUCUGCAAGACGGUGUGUUUUCGGUAUAAAUAUGUGAGUGUUUCUCUUCUUGAACUCAUCCUCUCUUCUCCGAUUUGAAGUCCGGCAAGAAUUUUUUUCUCCGAUUUGAAGUCAGGCUAAACUUGCUCUAGAGGCUCUUGAAGUUCCUGUGGGAUGUGUCAUUCUUGAGGAGGGUAACAUCGUUGCUUCAGGGCGUAACCGAACUAAUGAGACAAGCAAUAGAGGCCACAAGACAUGCAGAGAUGGAAGCAAUCGAUGAACUUAUUGGACAAUGGCAAAAAGAUAGACUUUGACCUUUACAAGUCGCUGAGAAUUUCUCGAAAUGCGUUCUUUACGUAACAUGUGAACCUUGCAUAAUGUGUGCAUCGACCUUAUCCUUCCUCGGUAUAAAGGAAGUAUAUUAUGCAUGCGGUAAUGAUAAAUUUGGGGUUGUGGUUCUAUAUUGUCGCUUCACUUAGAGUGUUCUCAGACAUAAGAUAUCCUUUGUAGACCCUAAAGAUCACACUACAAACUUAUUAGAAAAAAUCGGCCUUAUUAAUUUUAGUCUGUGAUCUCUGUCUUUUUUUUAUAGUGAAGAAGCUCAAAGAGGAAAAGGGUACAAGUGCAGAGGAAUAAUGGCAGACGAAGCUGUAUCUCUUUUCAAAUGUUUCUAUGAGAGGCAAUCCAUACAGUAACCAUUCUCAUCUUUACCUCCAACUCUGUUCUUUGAUGAAACAUCUUAAACACAGUUCUUUUUUGUAGUUUUAGCCCCAAAGCCACACCGCCCUGUAGUUCAAAUAGAGAGGACUUAGCAUCUUAGAGGCGAACAUGGUUUGAAAAUUGGAGUUUCUGAUUAAAAUAUGAAGAAGUUGAGGUGGAGGUUGUCAAAUGAUGAUUCUAUGUUUGAUUUUGCUACUUUUGGCACAUGAAACGUUAUCAGUUACAUCCAAAACAUUUGUUUAUCUGCCUAAGUUGGAGAUCUCAAUCUUAAGCUACUAAGUUGGUUUUCUAACUUAAGGAAUUAGUUGUCUGUGACUGUAACGUUUUCUUCUUGUACGGGUAGAUGAUAGACAUGACCAUCAUUAGAAGAAUAAAAGAUUAACUCUGUUUUUAUCUUUUUCUUUGGAUCAAAUCUCUGUUUCAAUCUCUUUCCUUUAACCCUGACAAGCAACACUCUUAACAUACUUAUUUUUUCUACCCAUAUUGGUUGGUUUUAUGGUUAAUUUGUCAAGUAAACACACAAGUGUUCAAAAUGCAUGCAUAGAUGAUAUUUAUGACGAAAAGAAAGAUGACAAGUUAAAUAAAGGUGUGUAGAGAAGCUGAACUAUGCGCUGCUGCUGAGUGAAAUGCAACUUGGACAGGAAACAGAGGUGGGAGAAUACAUAUUGAAGCCAAAGACAAUCGAAAGAGAGAAGACUUUCGUUCUUCUGGACAUCCCGCACCGCCGCACGUAACUCACUACUUCAGGAGGUGGUGGUGGUGUAACUGAGAAGAAUAAAUGAUGGUGUGUUCUUGGUUUUAAAAGGCGACCGCUUCGCUCGCCAUGGCGAGUAGCGACCUGAGGCGACCUCCAAAACGACUCAGGACCCCAAUGCUAAGCGAGGUACGAGAGUCGACCGCCUUACCUCGCUACACCUGUAUACACUGAGUCGAUCAUUGCGUCGCUACGUUGUUGAUAAUCAAACCGUUAACAAAAUUUUGGUUUUAAAAUAAGUAAAAUAGCAUAUAAGUGUAUUAUACUCUAAAUAUCCUCUAAAUAUACUCUAAAUAUACGCUAAAUAUACUCUAACCGAAUGCCCUAAUCCAUCUAAAAAGUAAAAACCCUAAGUGAAUGUACUAUAUAAUAGAAUUACUUCCCCCUUACUUUUUCACAAGUUCUCUUGCUUUCUCUAAGCUACUGACGGCAUAAGCUCUUCUUUACUUUAUCGGUUUGUUUUGUUAGUUAAAGUUUUAGUGUUUACCACAUCAUGUUGAUCACAUAUAAGGCUCAUAGUGUCAUAUCUUCUUUAUCACAUACCUUCUCUAUUCACGCAAACCUCUUAUAUAUCACGCAUCAUUCAUUUUGUUUGUUAGAGGUUAUUUUCUUAGCUUGUGUUAAGAACCUUAUACGUUUAUGUACCUAGUUUGUAUUAUAUACGUAGCUUAACAUUCUUUUUAAAUUAUGUUUACUAUGUUUUUUUUCAAAGUUUCAUAUAAUUUAUGGUAUUAGGAAUAGAAGGUACCUUUUGAGCGGCUGAUACGCGAUGCGAUCGCCAUGAAACGCCAUGGCGAGUGGCGAGUGUCGAGCCUCCUUUCGCCAAUCCUCGCCACACGACAUUUAAAACCAAGGGUGUGUUUCUUUGCAGGGCUGGUAUUGUGUUUCUUUGCAGGGCUGGUAGUGGUGGUGGUGUAAGUGUGUAACUGAGAAGAAGAAAUGAUGCAAUGACUGAGUUCAAAGCUCUCUUUUUUUAUUUUUUAGAGUUUCCGCCUAAUUAAUGUUACACCACCACCACCAUACACUAUACUAAAAGGAGAAUAAGAUCACCAAUUAGCCUGUCCAUGUAGACACGAAAAAUCAGCCAAUAGAAAGACUCAAACAUGCAAUGCCAGCUCAGCUUAAAUCGAAAUUAUAAAUUCUGGGCUAGUUUAAAUCCAGAUUAAUAAAUUCUGGGUUUUUCAUAUGGGCUCAUGAUAUAUUUCAGAAAAUGUCCAGUUUUGAACUCCUAAAUAUUCGUUUCUUACACCUUUCAUAGAACGGAGGGGUCGCUCGAUCGAUUUGGUUAACACAGUUCGUCUUCUCCGUUUAUCCCUGCAAAUCUACAUAACCACAACCCCUCUUGACCAAUCAAUUUAUGUCCUAACAAAUCAAAAUAAGAAAAGCUCCCAUAUUAUUUAGUUUAUAUUUGUCAAAAAACACAAAAUAAUUUUUGGUGAGAACACUACUUUAGGACCUUUGACGUUCUCGAUUCUCUUGAUCUCAGUUUCACAAAGUUAUCAAACAUCUUCAAUUAAUCUCUUCAAAUUCUUUCAACCAUUUAUUUGUCCCUUAAUUCAGUUUUUCUGUUCUUUGAGCUCCUUCAAAUUAUUUCAAGAAUUUCCUUUUCCCUCAAAUCAGCUCAUCUAUUCUAUGAACAACUACAUCUCAAAGAUUUCAAAAAGAAGUUUCAUAUACGACAACAAAGACAAGCGACACUAACAAAGGAGAAUUAGAUUGGGAAGGCACACAUAAGCAAGAAGAAUAAGAUACUGGAGAAGAACAUGGUUAUCGUCCUCACAUAUUAUUAAGAUGAGAUCUGAUGGAAGAGUGAGAUGGUUGGAGGUGGUGAUGAUGGCAGCUUUCGUUUAUCAAUUGAAGAAGAAGGUGAUACUUGGCGAGGAAGUUGCAGUGUCUAAGCUCACAAUUUUUGGACAUUUUUAAACAUGUCUAUCAUGCAGUUAAGUAGGAGCAGGACAAAGUCUAAUUAACGAAACUAUUAUAUGAAAGAUUUUGCAGUCAAAUACCUUUUAUAGGCACCAACAAGAUUCAUGGAGUCAUUCUAAUUCUCAAAAGGAUUAUAGAAAGUGUUACUGAAGUUUACUCACUGUCAAAGGAAAUUUAUGUACUCCUUAUGCAGGAUGUAACUGCUUGUAAGAUUUCUACAGGCUCUCAACUCGGCAUCUACUAUAUUUGGAUUUCUUCCUUUAUUCACUAAGAAACAGUUACUUCUCCAUCUUGAGUCUGAUGAUUCUGCUUAGGUAGCCCAUACAACUAUUGAGAUUGAUUUUCAGUCCAAGACAAUGUACCUUGAGGAUAUGACUCUUUGCCUCCAACUAUGUCAAUCUGUUACCAUUUCAGAACGUUUUGAGCAGCUUCAGGAUCACUGCUGAUUCUCCACAUGUAGAGCUGAAGAGAUUCUCCACUCAAGCAAGUGAUAGCAGCUGCUGCAAAUGAAGCUCUUAAAAGAUUUAGAGACAUCUACUCCAAUAAUCAUUUCAGGAAGAUUGGUAAUUGUCUCUGUCUUCUCUUAUUACGAAAGAUACAUAUCAAAUGUGAUCUGCCUAUGAAUUAAUUAUCUUAGGAUGAUAGCAAAAAACUUAUACGAAUACCCGAGUGUAGCCCGGAAAAAGUCCCUAGUUUAUAUAAAAACACAAUCCAAGUUUAUUUAAUUUCCUAA